rnacentral:rRNA from 1 species
GACGAACCGUGCGAACGUUGUUCGGAAUCACUGGGCUUAAAGGGCGCGUAGGCGGGUCUCCAAGUCAGGGGGUGAAAUACUUCGGCUCAACCGGAGAAGUGCUUUUGAUACUGGAGAUCUCGAGGGGUGUAGGGGCAUGUGGAACUUCCGGUGGAGCGGUGAAAUGCGUAGAUAUCAGGAGGAACACCAAUUGCGAAGGCAGCUCGCUGGGACGUAACUGACGCUGAGACGCGAAAGCGUGGGGAGCAAACAGG